UUCAGGCAACGUGGUGCCGUAAAGGGUUUACAAUUUCCUCUCACCGCGCUGCGCGACAGCAGCCGUAAGGUCCGCCCCGUGGGCGUGGCCACGUUACGACACAGAGCCUAUAACUAUCUGGUCCGCGCGCGGGCAGACGGCGUCUGUAGCGACUUCCGGGCGGCAGCCACGCAGGACCCGUGGGGUGGCACGUGGCUUAGGAAGGGGGUUCAGCCCCUGGCAGAUGCCAGCAGAGUCCUGAGAAGCUUAGGAUUUGGCGAACUUAACCCCAGGCUUUGCCUCUCAGACUAAGAUGGAAAAUACUCACUGGACUCCAGGGUGAUGAGCUCAGUCAUGACAGCCAGUACAUGAGGGAGAGAGGCAGCCAGAGCGUCAGAUAAAGUGAAUUGUCAACCAAAACCCUUAUACAUAACGGAACUUUAGUACAUCUGUCCUACCAUCAUCAUCUGAUGAUUGAGUCACACGAAAAAAUCGCUGGAGUGCAAACGGCGCGAUCUCGGCU